UGGGGAAUUUUGGACAAUGGGCGAAAGCCUGAUCCAGCAAUGCCGCGUGCGUGAAGAAGGCCUUCGGGUUGUAAAGCACUUUUGUCCGGAAAGAAAUCCUUGGCUCUAAUACAGUCGGGGGAUGACGGUACCGGAAGAAUAAGCACCGGCUAACUACGUGCCAGCAGCCGCGGUAAUACGUAGGGUGCAAGCGUUAAUCGGAAUUACUGGGCGUAAAGCGUGCGCAGGCGGUUUGCUAAGACCGAUGUGAAAUCCCCGGGCUCAACCUGGGAACUGCAUUGGUGACUGGCAGGCUAGAGUAUGGCAGAGGGGGGUAGAAUUCCACGUGUAGCAGUGAAAUGCGUAGAGAUGUGGAGGAAUACCGAUGGCGAAGGCAGCCCCCUGGGUCAAUACUGACGCUCAUGCACGAAAAGCGUGGGGGAGCAAAACAGGAUUAGAUACCCUGGUAGUCCACGCCCUAAAACGAUGUCAACUAGUUGUUGGGGGAUUCAUUUCCUUAGUAACGUAGCUAACGCGUGAAGUUGACCGCCUGGGGAGUACGGUCGCAAGAUUAAAACUCAAAGGAAUUGACGGGGUCAUAGCUGUUCCU
rnacentral:rRNA from 1 species